AGGGCAAGUCUGGUGCCAGCAGCCGCGGUAAUUCCAGCUCCAAUAGCGUAUAUUAAAGUUGUUGCAGUUAAAAAGCUCGUAGUUGAAUUUCGGGAUCGAAUUGUUGGUCGUGCCUCGGUACGCACUGGCAUUAUCGGUUCCUACCUUCUGAAGAACCGCGAUGUCAUUAAUUUGGUGUCGUGGGGAAUCAGGACUGUUACUUUGAAAAAAUUAGAGUGUUUAAAGCAGGCUUACGCUUGAAUACAUUAGCAUGGAAUAAUGAAAUAGGACGUUUGAUUCUAUUUUGUUGGUUUCUAGGAUCGACGUAAUGAUUAAUAGGGAUAGUUGGGGGCAUUAGUAUUCAAUUGUCAGAGGUGAAAUUCUUGGAUUUAUUGAAGACUAACUACUGCGAAAGCAUUUGCCAAGGAUGUUUUCAUUAAUCAAGAACGAAAGUUAGGGGAUCGAAGACGAUCAGAUACCGUCGUAGUCUUAACCAUAAACUA
rnacentral:rRNA from 1 species